rnacentral:rRNA from 1 species
GACGAAGGAUGCAAGCGUUAUCCGGAUUCAUUGGGUUUAAAGGGCGCGUAGGUGGCCUUAUAAGUCAGUGGUGAAAUCUCUGGGCUUAACCCAGAAAUUGCCAUUGAUACUGUAGGGCUUGAGUAUAGAUGCCGUUGGCGGAAUAUGACAUGUAGUGGUGAAAUACAUAGAGAUGUCAUAGAACACCGACUGCGAAGGCAGCUAACGAAACUAUAACUGACACUGAGGCUCGAAAGUGUGGGGAUCAAACAGG